rnacentral:rRNA from 1 species
GUGCCAGCGGCCGCGGUAAUACGUAGGGUGCGAGCGUUGUCCGGAUUUAUUGGGCGUAAAGAGCUCGUAGGCGGUUUGUCGCGUCGGCCGUGAAAACCUACAGCUUAACUGUGGGCGUGCGGUCGAUACGGGCAGACUUGAGUUCGGCAGGGGAGACUGGAAUUCCUGGUGUAGCGGUGAAAUGCGCAGAUAUCAGGAGGAACACCGGUGGCGAAGGCGGGUCUCUGGGCCGAUACUGACGCUGAGGAGCGAAAGCGUGGGGAGCGAACAGGAUUAGAUACCCUGGUAGUCC